rnacentral:rRNA from 1 species
AGCUUUCGACGGUAUGGUAUUGGCUUACCGUGGCAGUGACGGUUAACGGGGGAUUAGGGUUCGAUUCCGGAGAGGGAGCCUGAGAAACGGCUACCACAUCUAAGGAAGGCAGCAGGCGCGCAAAUUACCCAAUUCUAACAGUUUGAGAGAGGUAGUAACAAGAAAUAACAAUACAAGGCAGUUAAAAUGCUUUGUAAUUGGAAUGAUAGAAAUUUAAACCCUUUUUAAAGUAUCAAUUGGAGGGCAAGUCUGGUGCCAGCAGCCGCGGUAAUUCCAGCUCCAAUAGCGUAUAUUAAAAUUGUUGCAGUUAAAAAGCUCGUAGUUGAAGUUCUGCUGAAAGUAACCGGUCUGCUUUUAAUAAAAGUGGUAUCUUGGUAUGUAUUUAGCAAUGAUGUCCUUUGAAGUGUUUUUUACUUUAUUGUAAUAAAGCAUAUUCAGGACUUUUACUUUGAGAAAAUUAGAGUGUUUCUAGCAGGCUGACGCUUUGAAUACUGCAGCAUGGAAUAAUAAGAUAGGAUUUUAGUUCUACAUUAUUGGUUUUAAGAGCUAAAUUAAUGAUUGAUAGGGACAGUUGGGGGCAUUUGUAUUUAACUGUCAGAGGUGAA